AAAAAAAAGAAAGAAAAAGAGGGGGGAAGGGAAUGGUUUGUUCGCGCGCUUUUGUUUAUACUCGUGGCUUAAGUUCGGGGGUUUUCGUUUAUGUUUUUUUUUUCCCUUUCUUUUUGCCUUUUUUGU
rnacentral:ribozyme from 1 species